UAGAGUUUGAUCCUGGCUCAGGAUGAACGCUGGCGGCGUGCUUAACACAUGCAAGUCGAACGGUGAAGCAGGAGCUUGCUCUUGUGGAUCAGUGGCGAACGGGUGAGUAACACGUGAGCAACCUGCCCCUGACUCUGGGAUAAGCGCUGGAAACGGCGUCUAAUACUGGAUAUGUGACGUGACCGCAUGGUCUGCGUUUGGAAAGAUUUUUCGGUUGGGGAUGGGCUCGCGGCCUAUCAGCUUGUUGGUGAGGUAAUGGCUCACCAAGGCGUCGACGGGUAGCCGGCCUGAGAGGGUGACCGGCCACACUGGGACUGAGACACGGCCCAGACUCCUACGGGAGGCAGCAGUGGGGAAUAUUGCACAAUGGGCGAAAGCCUGAUGCAGCAACGCCGCGUGAGGGAUGACGGCCUUCGGGUUGUAAACCUCUUUUAGCAGGGAAGAAGCGAAAGUGACGGUACCUGCAGAAAAAGCGCCGGCUAACUACGUGCCAGCAGCCGCGGUAAUACGUAGGGCGCAAGCGUUAUCCGGAAUUAUUGGGCGUAAAGAGCUCGUAGGCGGUUUGUCGCGUCUGCUGUGAAAUCCCGAGGCUCAACCUCGGGCCUGCAGUGGGUACGGGCAGACUAGAGUGCGGUAGGGGAGAUUGGAAUUCCUGGUGUAGCGGUGGAAUGCGCAGAUAUCAGGAGGAACACCGAUGGCGAAGGCAGUCACGGGCCGUAACGACGCGAGAGGAAAGUGGAGCUAUUGAACCCA
rnacentral:rRNA from 1 species